rnacentral:rRNA from 1 species
AUUGAACGCUGGCGGCAUGCCUUACACAUGCAAGUCGAACGGUAACAGGUCUUCGGAUGCUGACGAGUGGCGAACGGGUGAGUAAUACAUCGGAACGUGCCCGAUCGUGGGGGAUAACGAAGCGAAAGCUUUGCUAAUACCGCAUAAGAUCUACGGAUGAAAGCAGGGGACCGCAAGGCCUUGCGCGAACGGAGCGGCCGAUGGCAGAUUAGGUAGUUGGUGGGAUAAAAGCUUACCAAGACGACGAUCUGUAGCUGGUCUGAGAGGACGACCAGCCACACUGGGACUGAGACACGGCCCAGACUCCUACGGGAGGCAGCAGUGGGGAAUUUUGGACAAUGGGCGAAAGCCUGAUCCAGCCAUGCCGCGUGCAGGAUGAAGGCCUUCGGGUUGUAAACUGCUUUUGUACGGAACGAAAAGACUCUUUCUAAUAAAGGGGGUCCAUGACGGUACCGUAAGAAUAAGCACCGGCUAACUACGUGCCAGCCGCCGCAGUAAUAC